UACAGAGGGUGCGAGCGUUGUUCGGAAUUAUUGGGCGUAAAGAGCUCGUAGGCGGUCUGUCGCGUCGGUCGUGAAAACUUGGGGCUUAACCCUGAGCUUGCGGUCGAUACGGGCAUGACUGGAGUUCGGCAGGGGAGACUGGAAUUCCUGGUGUAGCGGUGGAAUGCGCAGAUAUCAGGAGGAACACCGGUGGCGAAGGCGGUUCUCUGGGCAUUACCUGACGCUGAGGAGCGAAAGCAUGGGGAGCGAACAGG
rnacentral:rRNA from 1 species